AUUAAAUUAAACUCAAAAGGGCCAAGGAAACCAAUAUUUGGCUAUUGCCCUCUGAGUCAGUCUGAAUCCAGGGAACAGGAAACUUCUUUAAAGAGUUUUGCAACUCUGGGCCACAUAACCUCCUGAUCAGGGAGAUUAAUGAGACCACUGGAAAACAGAAAGCCAGUCAGUGCACUUGCCAUGAAAAGGAGGGUCAUUGGAGAAGGGAGACGUCCCUGAUGCUUCCAAGGGAAGCCACAUGGUCAGCAGGACCUGGACCCAUCCUAGCUCAAAUGGCACUAUCAGAACUAAGAAGAUGCUCUCAAGUUCCCCAAGAGUGACUCCCAUGGGAACUCAGCUGACUCUUAACAGCAGAUAGACACAAAGUCAGCUUGAUCUUAAACACCUAGCAAAAAACAGUUAAAACCAAAACACAGCCAUCCCUAAACAUUAAAAUAAUAUAUGUAAUAGUUAAAUGUAACUUAAGAUACACACUUGUACUAACUAGCCCCCCAAAAUAAGUAAGACUGGAGGUUACAAAACAGAGAUUCUUAAGAAGGAAUGCCUAAUAACUAUCAAGUGAAACUGCCAAGUCAGAAGUUUUAGUCAGUUUAGGGCCUAUAGACCUUCCUAACCUCCUUCACAGGUAGGAUUAAUAUGUGCUAACAUGAUUAUCUAAGCCUAAGUGACAGAAAUGAAGGGUUCUCUACUAGACACAGAGGUCAUACCAGAAGAAAGAUUUUACAACAUCAG
rnacentral:lncRNA from 1 species